UUUCCGUAGGUGAACCUGCGGAAGGAUCAUUGCAAGAGGGUUUGGUUGGUUGGUGGGGUCUUUUUGUCGGGUUUCCGACAAGGACUGCACCGCUCACCACGUUUACGCUUGUAUUGUUUGACAGAGUCUAUGCGCUUCAAGUAUAUACAACUUUUAACAAUGGAUCUCUUGGCUCUU
rnacentral:misc_RNA from 1 species